AGUGAACGCUGGCGGUAGGCCUAACACAUGCAAGUCGAACGGCAGCACAGUAAGAGCUUGCUCUUACGGGUGGCGAGUGGCGGACGGGUGAGGAAUACAUCGGAAUCUACUUUUUCGUGGGGGAUAACGUAGGGAAACUUACGCUAAUACCGCAUACGACCUACGGGUGAAAGCAGGGGAUCUUCGGACCUUGCGCGAUUGAAUGAGCCGAUGUCGGAUUAGCUAGUUGGCGGGGUAAAGGCCCACCAAGGCGACGAUCCGUAGCUGGUCUGAGAGGAUGGUCGGCCACACUAGAGCUGGAACACGGACCAGAGUACUACGGGAGGCAGCAGUGGGGAAUGUUGGACAAUGGGGGCAAGCCUGGUCCAGCGAUACCGAGUGGGUGGAGGAGGCGUUCGGGUUGUAAAGCCGUUUUGUUGGGUAAGAAACGCAGCCGCUUGAGACCACGCUGUUGAGACGGUACCGAAAAAAUAAGCACCGGCUAACUACGUG
rnacentral:rRNA from 1 species